rnacentral:lncRNA from 1 species
UUUUAUGUGGUUAACACGGGGCCGAAAGGUUUGACGCGCGUUCCUAGCUUUGCCGGAAACACCUUGGACCAGCUCAAUCCAGGAAGUUCAGAGGGUAGGAGGUAUGGAGAAAGGAAAGCAUUUGAACUCAUUAUAGUGCGCAUCGGCUAGAGGCGGCGGACAUUAGGCCGUUCACGGGGACUGAGUCCUUUUAUUCAGACGCUCAGUUUGACGACCUUUCUUCCGGUAAAUGGAAAAGUCCGUUUUUUUUAUAGUCGUCUCUUGCUUUAUCGAAGGAUUGAUAUAGAGAAGAAAUUCCUAUAUUUCU